rnacentral:rRNA from 1 species
UGCCUUAGUAACGGCGAGUGAAGCGGCAAAAGCUCAAAUUUGAAAUCUGGGGUCUUCGACCUCCGAGUUGUAAUUUGAAGAAAGCAACUUUGGAGUUAGCCUUUUUCUAAGUUCCUUGGAACAGGACUUCAUAGAGGGUGAGAAUCCCGUAUGGAGAAGUGUCUAAUUCUAUGUAAAGUGCUUUCGACGAGUCGAGUUGUUUGGGAAUGCAGCUCUAAGUGGGUGGUAAAUUCCAUCUAAAGCUAAAUAUUGGCGAGAGACCGAUAGCGAACAAGUACAGUGAUGGAAAGAUGAAAAGAACUUUGAAAAGAGAGUGAAAAAGUACGUGAAAUUGUUAAAAGGGAAGGGCUUCAGAUCAGACUUGAUGUUUAGCGAUCCAUCUUCCUUUUUGGUUGGUGCACGCGCUUUUCAUUGGGCCAACAUCGAUUUGAGUGGUAGGAUAAUGCCGUUGGAAUGUAGCUUCAUUCGUGAAGUGUUAUAGACUUCGGUGAUACUGCCCACUUGGAUCGAGGACUGCGUCUUUUGACUAGGAUGUUGGCGUAAUGAUCUGAAGCCGCCCGUCUUGAAACAUGGACCAAGGAGUCUAACGUCUAUGCGAGUGUUUGGGUGUCAAACCCCUACGCGUAAUGAAAGUGAACGUAGGUGAGAGCCUUCGGGUGCAUCAUCGACCGAUCCUGAUGUCUUCGGAUGGAUUUGAGUAAGAGCAUAGCUGUUGGGACCCGAAAGAUGGUGAACUAUGCCUGAAUAGGGUGAAGCCAGAGGAAACUCUGGUGGAGGCUCGUAGCGGUUCUGACGUGCAAAUCGAUCGUCAAAUUUGGGUAUAGGGGCGAAAGAC